rnacentral:lncRNA from 1 species
UUUUAAAAUACUAUUGGUUUAGAAAUAUGGGAAAUUGGUAAAUACAGAAAAUAAUAGAUUUACUAUCAAAAUUUAUUCUGUUUUAGUAAUAUGUGUAAAACACACAUCAUACAUAUUUUAGGAAUAUGGAGUAUUAUUUAACGAUUGUUUAUUUUAAAUAUAGAAUUACUGAACCAUAAUAACACAUUUGAUUUUUUGGGAACCUUUUUUUUUUAAAUCUGAAUCGGCCGGUCAAACAAAUAAAACCACAA